GCCGAGGUGGCGGAAUUGGUAGACGCGCUAGCUUCAGGUGCUAGUGAGGGUAUCCUCGUGGAGGUUCAAGUCCUCUCCUCGGCACCA
rnacentral:tRNA from 5 species